rnacentral:rRNA from 1 species
GACGAACGCUGGCGGCGUGCUUUACACAUGCAAGUCGAACGCUGAAGCUCAGCUUUUGUUGGGUGGAUGAGUGGCGAACGGGUGAGUAACACGUGAGUAACCUGCCUCCUUCUUUGGGAUAACGCCCGGAAACGGGUGCUAAUACUGGAUAUUCACUGGUCUUCGCCUGGGGGUUGGUGGAAAGGGUUUUUCUGGUGGGGGAUGGGCUCGCGGCCUAUCAGCUUGUUGGUGGGGUGAUGGCCUACCAAGGCUUUGACGGGUAGCCGGCCUGAGAGGGUGACCGGUCACAUUGGGGUUGGGCUCCGGCCCAGAACCCGACGGGCGGCAGAUGUGGGGAUUAUUGCAGGAUGGGCGCAGGCCUGAUGCAGCGACGGCGCGUGGGCGAUGGGGUGCUUGGGUUUGGGAACCUCUUGCGUUCAUGGUCACGCCGGAAAAAUGGUUGUGGUGAGGGUAGUGGGUAAAGAAGCGCCGGCUAACUACGUG